rnacentral:tRNA from 1 species
GGGCAUAUGGUAUAGCCAGGAUAUUAUCGAGGUUUCCGGAACCUUUGACCCGGGUUCGAAUCCCGGUAUGCCCU